UCUCUUCAGCAUUUUAGAACGUGUAAGAGUAUUAUAUAAGCUCCUCUUAGUCCAUUGUAAAAACUCACAUUUCAAUCAAUAAAUACAAAGUUUCUUGUUUUCUUUCAAAGUUGUCUUUUUGAGGAAUUAUUCUUUUUUUUUAAUACAAGUGUGUGAUUCACUUCUAUUUUUUAGAAGCCACAAAUUUAGUUGUUUGUGUGACUCAAAUAACUUGUUCACCGAUUGAUAGAGUCAAUCAUCCCAUCGAUUGAGAGAGUCAAUCAAACCAUCACCUUCUAUCUUAACAUCACGCCCACUUCCACAACAAAACUUGCAGGUAUAUUUGACAAUCUUGUGAAGCAUAAAAUUUGGUGUGACUCCAAUCUUAUAUCAUUAGGAUAGUCCUUUUUGAGUACUGGAUCUAGUUUUAAUAGCAGAACGUUGAAGCGUGACACUGAGGACUGUCAUUGUUCACCUCUUUUGACUCCUAUGAAACAAUUUCGGCUGCCAGAUGAAAUAUUUUUUAAUAUGCUUUUUGGGCAUUUCUUUAGCCUUUCUUCUUGUUUUUUUCUAUUCGCUCAUAUUUCUCGACUUUGUCUUACCUCGAGUAUUCAAACUCCUUAUCACUACUGUUUGACACAUUUGCUUCAAAAUUUUGAAUAAUAGUAUUGAUAGAAUUUGCUUCCAUGUUUUUUAUUCUUUUUUUGGCAUAAAACCAAUCUUUUGGUCGAAUAAUUUCUUCGCACAUUUUGUAAUAUCAGAUCUUUUUAUUUUUGAUGAAAUAUUUACCAUUUAGUAAAAACAAAAUUCUCAUUUCAUUAAAUAUAUAUUUAUUGCUUAAUAUGUGCUGAAUCAGAUCGCCUAACCAUCUGAGAGAUCGGAGACUUGAAGAGGCUCCUUGAAGACUUUGAAACCAAGUUUGUGCUCAAUGUACUCAUAGAUGCCCGAUAUAGGUAGUGCCGCAUGAGAAAAAGAGAGAGAGAGAGGAUUACUAUAAUGAACUCAUUGAGACUAAUAAGUUUUCUAUAAUGCAUUCAUCGAGACUAAAAGAAAUUUUUUGGCAGGUCAGUAACACAGGUUUAGGUUAUCUUGUCUCUCCAACAACGUUUUAAUGUAUCUUUACACUCUCAAACUUGAACCGUACAAAAAAAAGUUUUUAAUGUAUACAUUAAAUAAGUUUCAACUUGGACUUCUCUCAUUUGAAAAAAAAUACUUACCGUCCAAUCACACAUUCACAAUGUUAUGAUUUUUGAUGAUCCUAACACAGGUCUAGAUUCUCUCUGUCUCUCCAACAACAAUUUAAUGUAUUUCUACACUCUCAAAUUUGAACCGUACAAAACAAAGUUUUUAACGUAUACAUUAAAUAAGUUUCAAUAUGGAAUUCCCUCGUAUAAAAAAAAAUACUUGUCCUCCAAUCACACAUUCACAAUGACACUACUAACACAGGUCUAGGUUCUCUCGUCUCCACACAAUAACGUUUUAAUGUAUUACUACACUUUCAAACUUUAACCGUACAAAAAAAAAAGUUUUUAACGUACAUUAAAUAAGUUUCAAAUUGGAGUUCCCUCGUUUGAAAAAAAUACUUGCCGUCCAAUCACAAAUUCACAAUGUUAUGAUUUUAUCAAAAAUCAAACAUUCAAAAAUAAAACGCAAAUCAAUAGCCAAAAACAUGAAAAAAAUAAGUAUCUGUAAAAUCCUACAAUCCAAAACAGCCUCUGUACUCUUUUUUUCUUUUUUUCUUUCUGACAUUUGCAAUUUUUUUUUUUUUUUUUUAAAAAGUGUAUCACCAAAGGUCCACGUCAUGGCUGCAUUUUGUCGACACAAUUCUCGACGGCGCCGUCAAUUUAUCCACCGUUACAUCGCAGUUAACUUUAAC
rnacentral:lncRNA from 1 species